rnacentral:rRNA from 1 species
UACGUAGGGUGCAAGCGUUGUCCGGAAUUAUUGGGCGUAAAGAGCUCGUAGGCGGUCUGUCGCGUCUGCUGUGAAAACUCGGGGCUUAACCCCGGGCCUGCAGUGGGUACGGGCAGACUAGAGUUCGGCAGGGGAGACUGGAAUUCCUGGUGUAGCGGUGAAAUGCGUAGAUAUCUGGAGGAACACCGGUGGCGAAGGCGGCAUCCUGGACCAAUAUUGACGCUGAGGAGCGAAAAGCUAGGGGAGCAAACGGG